GAAAGAUCCAACUUCAUCAUUUUGAACCAGGAACAACUACAACAAUUAGGGUGUGAUGGAGACCAAAAUGCUAAGGUUUAGUAUGUUCCUUCUGUUUCUAGUCUUAGCCGCAGAUGUGACGGUGAAGAGAACAGAGGCGAAUGAUUGUUGGCAACCAAGCAAGACCUUUAAGGGUCUAUGCGUGAACAGUGACCUCUGUGCAAAAAUGUGCUACAACGAAGGUAUGACUGGUGGCAAAUGUAGAGGCUCUCCUCCCAGUUGCGACUGCUUCUAUGUCUGUUGAAAUUAAUUCACUCCUUCAAUAUUUUUCAUU